rnacentral:rRNA from 1 species
AGCGAAGAGAUUCAAUCGACUCUGCAGUAAUAGCAGAGAGCCUGCACAGGUGCUGCAUGGCUGUCGUCAGCUCGUGUCGUGAGAUGUUGGUUAAGUCCCGCAACCGAGCGCAACCCCUAUUGCCAGUUGCUAACAGGAGAGCUGAGCACUCUGGCGAGACUGCCGCCGACAAGGCGGAGGAAGGUGGGGAUGACGUCAAGUCAUCAUGGCCUUUAUGCCCAGGGCUACACACGUGCUACAAUGGCCGGCACAGACGGCAGCUUAGUGGCGACACUUGGCAAAUCCUCUAAAGCCGGUCCCAGUUCGGAUUGCAGUCUGCAACUCGACUGCAUGAAGCCGGAAUCGCUAGUAAUCGCAGAUCAGCCACGGCGCGGUGAAUACGUUCCCGGGCCUU